CUCGAGCGAAGCGAGAGAACGUUGCGCCAGCAACGGCCCGCAGGGCGAGCCACGCAGUGGCGAGUCAUCCUCUAUCACCGGCAG
rnacentral:sRNA from 1 species